CCCGUGUCCACCGCUCACACCGCUGGGCCCUCUGCGGGGGCGUCCGGGUGCCAAGGGCAGCUCUGAGGGGCUCCCUGCACACUCUGACCCUGGCUGGUCUCUAACUGCCUGGCUCUGGGGGUGGGGGCUGGGGCCCGCACCCGUAGGAGGCGUGUGCAGCGGGCGGGGUGUCGCAGAGACAGGCGUGAGGGGCACCCGAGGCCUCCCCCUAGACCCUGGGCGACAGCUGCAGGUCAGCCCCGCUUGCCGAGGAGACGCCCAACCGGACGCACCUGAGCUCACAACCAGGACAGCCAGGCCGCACCUUCCCCGCCCUCAGCUGGCUCCUGACAGGCCAGCAGCACACAGCCCUGAACCCCAAACGAGGGGCUGCCAGCCAGCCCGCCCCGCGGUGGGUGGGGGACAGACCUGGUCCACCUGCUCAGAGGCCGUGACAUGCAGCGCUGACCUGGCAAUGCACAGACUACACGGGCGUAGAAAGCCACCUUAAAAUUAAUCUCUUUACUGAUAGAAUUAAACUUUAAAUCCUGAGAAGACAGACACGGGGAGGACAGCGCACUGUCGCGCUCCCAGCCCGCCGCCUGGCCAGACCCGGCAUGCGCGCCCUGCGGGAGCCCGAAACACCCCAGGACCCCGCGCCUCGGAGCCCGUGGCGUCCCCUCCCGCCUGCGGGACAGCGGAGGGCUGAUGGCUCGCCAGCAAGAGCAGAGGAAUCCUGGCCCCCAGGCGGGAGCAGCUGGGACCUGGNNNNNNNNNNNNNNNNNNNNNGGGGCGGGGCGGUGACGUGGUGCCGGCCGAGAGAGGGGCGGGAGGACGUAAACAGCCGGCGGCUGGCUCUCAUACCAGCUCCAGCUCGAGGCCUGCCACAACCAGCUCCCGCCCCGCGAGGACUCAGGCUCAACCCCAAAGGUUACUGCGUGUGCCCUGCGCGCAGCCUCGCCAGCACACGGCAGGACACCCGCCCCCUGGCUCCCCGGAGAGAAGCCCGUGCCGCCCACUGCCUGGCACAGGCUGGGCCCCGCGGUCCAGGGCCCGGCUGCGGUAAAAGGGCCGGCUGUGGCACACUCACCCAAGGGAACGGCCGCAGCUCCAGAAACCACAAGAUCCAGUGA
rnacentral:lncRNA from 1 species